AUCGCUUCUCGGCCUUUUGGCUCAGAUCAAGUGUAGUAUCUGUUCUUAUCAGUUUAAUAUCUGAUACGUCCCCCAUCGGGGGACUACAUAUUAAAUGGAUUUUUCGAACAGGGAGUCGGAAAUGGGGCUUGCUCCGUCCGCUCCACGCAUCGACCCGGUAUUGCAGUACCUCCGGGAAG
rnacentral:snRNA from 8 species